rnacentral:rRNA from 1 species
CAGUCGCCACGGUAAUACGUAGGGUGCGAGCGUUAAUCGGAAUUACUGGGCGUAAAGCGUGCGCAGGCGGUUUUGUAAGACAGGCGUGAAAUCCCCGGGCUCAACCUGGGAAUGGCGCUUGUGACUGCAAAGCUAGAGUGCGGCAGAGGGGGAUGGAAUUCCGCGUGUAGCAGUGAAAUGCGUAGAUAUGCGGAGGAACACCGAUGGCGAAGGCAAUCCCCUGGGCCUGCACUGACGCUCAUGCACGAAAGCGUGGGGAGCAAACAGGAUUAGAUACCCGCGUAGUCCCUGUCUCUUAUAC